UAAUGUACAUACAGUAUUAUUGUAUACAUGUAGAAGCAUUUUCUCGAGUCAAUAAUUUCUAAAAGAUCAUAUUAAUAUUUCAGGAAAGUUCAAGCCGAAUCUGCUACAGCAAACUCAAACAUAAAGUGGCAUACUUGUGUGACAGGAAACGAGGAAUAUGUAUGUCUGGACUGAGAAUCUAACGGAAGAUCCCUGUAUCACUAGUUAGAUCCCACGGAAAUAUAGGAUCCUUUACUAAUCAAGUGUCAUCUGCAGUGUUACAAAAGAAUAUUGGAUUUAUAUCAGUAAGAAAAAAGAACUACCAGAAGGAGACAGUAAAGAGGAACGGACAUAUCACACCAUAAGACAUGCUUCAAUAUCUGAAUAUACAGAAUGAAUUUUGCUCACUGCAGAUCCUUGUGAAAGAACACCUUUGUUGUAUUGAAAUAAAAACAAAGGAAUUGUCAGGAUUCUUGAACAUGAUGCAACUGGCUGCA